ensembl:lncRNA
UAAAAAACGAGAACACGCCAGUUAUGUACAAGUGACAAGAUUAUCCUGACUUUCGCUAGCUACUUUCUUUUAUUGUUUUGUAGAAUCUAAAGUGGUAAAAUGUAAUGUGAACAAGUAUUAUUACUAAAAAGAAGCUUUCAUCUCACAACCGAAGGCCCGAGUCAUUACUUUGAAGGUAGUUAUUCUAUAGUUAUCAACUUCAAGGUGGAUGUUGUUGCUAAUAACGAGGUAAAGACAGUUUCAAGUUGGAUAUUCGCGCUUUCAAACCACUUGAGCCACAGACACCAAAUAAUGGUCAUGCUGUUGGAAAAAUUGCGCACCAAUUUGCACAGGUCUUAUUUUCACGAUUUGGACAUUCAUUCACUUUCCAACGCUAAUAAACGUGGAAAUGUGAGCAGCAUUUUGUAUUCUUAGUUGAAUUAGUUAGGGAGCGUAAACAAAGUACAAACCUUUUUUUACAUUAGAAUUUCAAUAGCUCCUUGGUCAUGUGACCUACUUGAUUCAAAUAAGGUUCAGAAUGUCCACUGACUACCCUUCUAUAUUGCACACCCUUUAGGUUGUCAAUUUUCAUCUCACAAAAUUUUACAUUCAUUUUCCAAAAUGUAAAAUGUCAAUAGCUCCUUGGUCAUGUGACUUAAUGACUUCAAACAAGGUUCAGAAUGUCCACUGACUACCCUCCUAUAUUGCACACCCUAUAGUUUGUCCAUUUUCAUCUCACAUGGUUUUACAUUUUUUUAAAAUCAAUGUAUAAUUUCAAUAGCUCCUUGGUCAUGUGACCUACGGACUUCUAACAAGGUUCAGAAUGUCCAAUCUGUGGGCCUACACAUUGCACAUCCUUUAGUUUGUCCAUUUUCAUCUCACAAGAUUUUACAUUAAUAUUUCAAAAUGUAGAAUUUCAAUAGCUCCUUGGUCAUGUGACCUACUGACCUCAAACAAGGUUCAGAAUGUGUACUGACUAUACCUUUUAUAUUGCACAUUCUGAUGUUUGUCUACUUUCAUCUCAUGCUAUUAGACUGAAAUCUGCCAGCUUUGCAGGCCUUCAUUUUACAUGCGUGUAAAAAAACAAACAUUUUUUUAAGUUAACAAAUGUUCCAUACUCGCAAUAACUAUCUUUCACAUGGACACUGUAAAGAUCCGCAAAUGGCUGUAUGUGGUAUGGAUCAAGGACAAGAGAGGUGUUUGAACAGAGGUGCUUAAAGGAAGGCGCACAGGUAGGCCUCAUGAAAAACAAUGUUUCAUAUGCGCUUUUUAAUCACAGUAAUAGGUAGUGGUUUGUCAGUCAGAGUGAGCUUGAUAACGUGAAAUAAUCUUUUUCAUAGCAUCACUUUCAUAUACUGUACAUUAAGACAAAUCCUUCUACGUUGAGUAUUAGAACGCAGUUUACAUAACCUGAUAAUGAUUUGAUAUUUCAGUGCAUUCAAAACAAGCCACGUGCAGACAACUUACAAAAUGCAAUAGUGCAUUUGAGGGUUAAUUUGUCUGAUGAAAAUAGUUAUUUGAUGCAUGGCCUACUAUUUCUAACUGGAAAAAUAAAUUCCUAUGUCUUUUCUGAGUAAAAUCCUUUUUCCAAAAUUGAUUUAGGCACAUUUUUGUGAAGAGGUAUGAGGAUUGUGAUAUGGGUCAUUUAAUAGUAAAAUCAUUUAAGGGAUCAAUACAUUUCAAUAUUGCUUCCCCAGUACCUGCAUGAACCAUCAGGCCAAGUGUUUUUGGUUGACCCUGCUGGACAGAAAGAGAAGGAGGAAUCGGAACACGCUGCAUUCAAAUUCAGGUGUUAGUUAUUCCAUUGUACUGGAUCUAAUACAUAUUAGCAUUUUACAUACAUUCAUAAGUGUAAUACGUUUUUAUGACAUACUGUGAAAAACUCUUUUGGCUGCUGGCUCUGUCACUUUAAGACAUGCGCAGAGCAGACUGAAAGGGGAAGGGUAGCUCUUGACUUGAACCACAGGUGUUCUCUGUAUAGAGAGAGUAAUCCAAAAGGCACCGACACACCCCUUGACUUUCAAUUGGCACCGUUGACCUGUAUGUAUUCUCUCCUGAUUGGCUCUGUGGUGCACAGUCUGGCAGUCUGACAAAAGUACCAGAGGUAUGAGGAGAGACAUCCUCCUUUUGUAUUUAUGUGAAAAAAUAUUUCCUAACUCUUUGGAUCCUGUUCUUGGACAGUUAGAAGACCCAAUGCAUCAAUGCAAAAAAAUAAUGAUUACUAAUUACUGUCCAUGAAUAACCUCAACCUUGUGGGUCUGUGGGUAUUUGGGCCAAUAAAGUGCAAACUCAAUUCUACCACUGACUAGUCUCUCAUGCCCCUAUGAAAAGGGACACAGGACAAUAGUUUUUAAUCUAAACCAGACCUUUUUUACUGGAGUACACUAACCCCUAAUUGGGGCUCUUUUCUUGACACACAGUAGCAGUUUACCAAAUAAGAAGUCAAAAAGAUCAAAAAGUAGAUCGUUGUAAGGGUGUAAUACAUCCUGUGCUGGUCACAUUGUCAUAUCCAUUCUGGAUUCUGGGUGGUAAAAUCAUAGCUGAAAAAUGCCUCUGUGUGUGUAUACAUUUUCCCCCAAGACAGAACUGCCAAAGGGGGUGGAGUUGCAAUCUACUGCAGAGUUCUGUCAUGCUAUCCAGGUCUGUGCCCUACUUUUAAAAAUCCACCUUUCCAGAAAUAAGUCUCUCACUGUUGCCGCUUGUUACAGACCCCCCUCAGCCCACAGCUGCGCCCUGGACACCAUAUGUGAAUGAAUUGCCCCCCAUUUAUCUUCAGAGUUUGUACUGUUAGGUGACCUAAACUGGGAUAUGCUUAACACCCCGGCCAUCCUACAAUCUAAGCUAGAUGCCCUCAAUCUCACCCAAAUUAUCAUGGAACCUACCAGGUACAACCCCAAAUCUGUACACUUGGGCACCCUCAUAGAUAUCAUCCUGACCAACCUGUCCUCUAAAUACACCUCUGCUGUUUUCAAAAUACAAAAAAAAUACACCUCUGCUGUCUUCCAGGAUCUCAUUGAUCACUGCCUCAUUGCCUGCGUCCCUAAUGGGUCCGCGGUCAAACGACCACCCCUCAUCGUCGUCAAACGGUCCCUAAAACACCAGCGAGCAGGCCUUUCUAACCGACCUGGCCUGGGUAUCCUGGAAAGAUAUUGACCUCAUUCUGUCAGUAGAGGAUGCCUGGUUAUUCUUUAAAAUUGCUUUCCUCACCAUCUUAAAUAAGCAUGCCCCAUUCAAACAAAUGUAGAACAAGGAACAGAUAUAGCCCUUAGUUCACUCCAGACCUGACUGCCCUUGACCAGCACAAAAACAUCCUGUGGCGUACCGCAUUAGCAUUGAAUAGCCACCGCUAUUCGAUGCUAGGGAUGUUAGGAACUUAUCAUCAGACUCAACAGCCUUUGUUUCUCAAAUGACUGCCUCGCCUGGUUCACCAACUACUUCUCAGAUAGAGUUCAGUAUGUCAAAUCGGAGGGCCUGUUGUCCGGACCUCUGGCAGACUCUAUGGGGGUGCCACAGGGUUCAAUUCUCGGGUCGACUCUUUUCUCUGUAUACAUAAAUGAUGUUCCUCUUGCGGCUGGUGAUUCUCUGAUCCACUUCUACGCAGACGACACCAUUCUGUAUACUUCUGGCCCUACUUUGGACACUGUGUUAACUAACCAUACAAUUCUCCUUCUGUGGCCUCCAACUGCUCUAAAAAUGCAAGUAAAACUAAAUGCAUACUCUUCAUCUGAUCGCUGCCCGCACCUGCCCGCCCGCCUAGCAUCACUACUCUGGACGGUUCUGACUUAGAAUAUGUGGACAACUACAAAUACCUAGGUGUCUGGUUAGACUGUAAACUCUCCUUCCAGACUCAUAUUAAAGCAUCUCCAAUCCAAAAUCAAAUCUAGAAUCGUUGCCAAACAUACCCUCGUAAAACUGAUUAUCCUACUGAUCCUUGACUUCGGCGAUGUCAUUUACAAAAUAGCCUCCAACACUCUAAUCAGCAAAUUGGACGCAGUCUAUCACAGUGCCAUCUGUUUCGUCACCAAAGCCCUAUAUACCACCCACCACUGCAACCUGUAUGCUCUCGUUGGCUGGCCCUCGCUUCAUAUUUUUUGCCCAACCCACUGGCUCCAGGUCAUCUAUAAGUCUUUGCUAAGUAAAGCCCCGCCUUAUCUCAGUUCACUGGUCACCAUAGCAGCACUCACCCGUAGCACUCGCUCCUGCAGGUAUAUUUCACUGGUCACCCCCAAAACCAAUUCCUCAUUUGGCCGCGUUUCCUUACAGUUCUCUGCUGCCAAUGACUGGAACGAAUUGCAAAAAUCUUACUUCAUUUGCAAACACUGUAUAUAGACUUUUCUAUUGUGUUAUUGACUGUGCGUUUGUUUAUACCAUGUGUAACUCUGUUUUGUUGUUUGUGUCACACUGCUUUGCUUUAUCUUGGCCAGGUCGCAGUUGUAAAUGAGAGCUUGUUCUCAACUUGCUUACCUGGUUGAAUAAAGGUGAAAUAAAAAAACAAAAAAUACUGUGUGGGAAUGUCUUAUGUCCGUGUAGUGUUGGUACAUGGAAUAUUCCUCAACUGCAUAUAUCAUAAAUUGCUAUUGCAAAUAGAAGUAUUAUGUUCAACAACUGACAUUUUCAGAUAUUAUUUUGACAAACACACUUGUGCUUACAAUUCAUUCUCUAUUGUCAUAGACUUGAUGGGCACUGUCAUCUGUGAUCUUUGUGAGGACUUUCUUUAGGCACGUACUGAUGAAACUGUCACUUAAUAUUUUUUUCUUAAAGUCCACAAACGCUCUACAUUUAUUCACUCUGUGAUAGGGUUGGAUCCUAUAUGCUACUUUUAUUAUUGUCCUGUAAAUGGUUCAGUGCCUAUAAUUUAAGCUGUGUGUGUAGAAUGGGACAUAAAGGAAAUGACCUCUGCUACUAAAUUACUACUAGAUUAUAGUGAUAAGGAAAACAGCAUACACAUUUGGCUUGUGUAUUCAUUUGCCUAUAACUAAUCAGAAUUCCAUUAUGUUUACAUAAAAAAGAGAGAACUUCAAAAUGAGAUCCUGCCAUGGAAAAGACGACGGACAUGAAGUGGAAAGGAGGGGAAAUAACUCACACCAUGCAGCAGGACACCUUCAGCUGUGUGGUUUUUGUAAUGCAGGUUUGAUAGUUAUAUUUUCAAUAAUGAUUGGUUAGCUGUUAUGUGACAAGUAGAUCAAAAAAUAUUUUAUUUUUUGGUGUAGAUGGCCAAGGAAGUUGCACAGAACUUCCCCAACAUCCCCUCCCAAAUUGAUAUGGAACCUUCAAAAACACAUGGAGCAAGUGCGAAAAUAAAUGGCUGAGGAUAUACUAAAAAUGUCUGGUUUGUAAUGACAUUUAAUUCAAAGUAAAUGUAAAUUCUUUAUUUUUAUGUAGUUGUGUCGGACAGUCAUUUGUUCAGUUCAUGCCUAUGAUUUCAGAGUUCAACAAAGCCAACAACUGCUUCAUGUGUGCCACUGAUAAAGAACCUGGAUGUAGCACAAAGACUGCCUGGAUUGAAUGUUUUGCAGGCCAAAGGUGGUUCCAUGUGCUGUAACUAGGAAUGAAGACAAAAUAGUUAAACAGAGCAAACAACACAAACUGGAAGUGCUGUCUUUGUUGUUGAAAAUGUAUGCUAUACCCCAUCCACACUGAAGAGGCUCUGACAUGUACAUCAACCAGGGAUAAAGAGAAAGUUAACACUGUGAAAUGUUUCAUACUUAUUUUUAAUUGUAUGUUGACACGUUGGAAAAGAUUAAAGGUGUACAAUUUCUGUUUAA